CGUUAAGCGAUUUUUCCGUGUUCAUGAACAUCAGAAGUUGUUUUAAUUCGAAAAGAUUUGGCUCGAUGCAGCGAGGUAAACGUUACAGCGAGGUAAGCGAGGUAAAAUAGAGUCAUUGCUAAUUUUGGCACUCCCGUCAUAAACAGUCUAAUCGUGCAACAAUUACUGCUAUUUAUUAGCAGAAAACCAGAACCAUGGCGUAUUGUCUUGUUUCUAUAGCUUCUCUUCCGUGUAAUGCACAGCAAUUUCAUUAGUAUAUAUUUGACAAUUUCGAUUCCCCACUAUAUCUUCACAUGAUACUAUACGUUAUUGGGGUAAUUUACGCAUUAAUUAACAUUCCCCUUUUUGAAUACAUCGUGAACAGUUUCUACCAUUAUUCUGGUCGACGUUUCAUAUAAGAGUCCCCACAUGCCCUGGCCUACCCACACCCCCAGUACGACCCUACCC